CUCUGUUUUUCCCAAGCAAAUCCAGUUUUUUCGCGGCUUCUUGACGGUCCAGAAAAUCCGGAGACGGCGCUGUGCUCAGCGCGGUGGGUCGCGAAGCACAACGCCCGGGUGUGAGCACUUUGAGGCGUCGUGAGGCUUCCGCUGAAAGGCUCUGCGGGUCCUGGCGCCUCCUCUCAAUUUCACCGUUGACCCAGUCUCUCAAAGCCUUUUUCACAGGCUCUACUUCAAUAGUUUCACAUGCCUUCCACCUGCACUUAAACGGCUGCAGCAACCCUGUAGGUAUAUAUAUAUAUAUUGGUUGAGACAUUUAAGUCUCUAGGCUACUGAAUGCAACUUCGUUCAAGGAAUACAGACCACCGCGUCCUCCAGGAGUGCUGUGGACUAUCACCUCACUAGACUGCGAAAUGCCAGGAUUUUAUGUCGGGUGAUGCAACUAUCGAAAAUGCAGUAUUGAAUACGCGAUUCAAAUGACACAGGGAAGAACUGUGGGUUCGUUUCAACGGCAAGGACGAAGAACCUGAUAGUUCGUGCAUCAUCAACGGAGUCACAUGCAGCAGCCUAGCCAUUACAGUGUCUGUGUGUACUCGAUUUGAGUUCUGCAGUUCUCGAUCGCAAGACAUGCGCACCGCGUUUCUCCUCUCUGCACAGGAGCGCUUCAUUUGCAUGCGUUCCCCGUUUUCGUGACGUGAUGUUCAGGAAAAACCUGUGUGAACCGGCCACAGUGAUCCUUGACCAGAUCCGUUUUUUCCGGUUCUCUUCGAGGCGGGAAGGUCGAAGGCCCCCAGGGAGGUGCGAGUGCAUUUCCUCGUCUGCCGAGGCUCUUUCUGCGUCUCGUGGAUUCACACCUCCAGCUGCGUA
rnacentral:lncRNA from 1 species